CUCACUCAGCAAACACGCAGCUUGGUCUCGGCAUGCACCUCGCCUAUCUCAUCCUCACGGUCUUCCUGGGCCAGCUCCUGGGCACCACGGGGCAGAUCAAGGUCACCCAGGAAGAUGGACAAGUCAUAGUGAAGCAGAGACAUCCCUUCCAGACCACCUGCACAUACCAGAUCAGUAAUUUUAGAGGAUUGCUGUGGUACCAGGUGCAGAAAGGCCAAGCCCCACAGCUGGUCUCCUAUCACGCAGGGCCUGGCGCCAAGCACAGCGGCCGUAUCACCACGCACCUGAACACCACGGGGAAAUACAGUGUCCUGCAGGUGGAGGAAGUGGAGGUCUCUGACAGUGCCUUGUACCUCUGUGCUGUGCAAGACACCCUGGUGCAGGGAACUUCCUCGGCUGUGCAACAAGCCAGGGGAGGGAGGGAGGGAGGGGAUGUGUCUGUGUGAGGGUGAGCUUGGGGC